rnacentral:ncRNA from 1 species
ACGCUAAGAGGUGGGAAAGGUACCCCACGCGCCCUAGAGGUUAACUAGCGGUUAAAAAGAGAUGCGGGAUACGCCGACCCGCCUUAGCGU